rnacentral:rRNA from 1 species
CCUACGGGUGGCAGCAGUGGGGGAUAUUGCACAAUGGGGGGAACCCUGAUGCAGCGACGCCGCGUGGGGGAAGAAGGGCCUCGGCGCGGAAAGCCCUGUCAGCAGGGAAGAAAAUGACGGUACCUGAAGAAGAAGCCACGGCCAACUCCGUGCCAGCAGCCGCGGUACUACGUAGGGGGCAAGCGUGAUCCGGAUUUACUGGGUGUAAAGGGGGCGGAGACGGCGAUGCAAGGCAGGAGUGAAGGCCCGGGGCCCACCCCCGGGACUGCUCUUGGAACUGCGUGGCUGGAGUGCAGGAGGGGCAGGCGGAAUUCCUGGUGUAGCGGUGAAAUGCUUAGAUAUCAGGAGGAACACCGGUGGCGAAGGCAGCCUGCUGGACUGCAACUGACGUUGAGGCCCGAAAGCGUGGGGAGCAAACAGGAUUAGAUACCCUUGUAGUC